rnacentral:pre_miRNA from 1 species
GAUAUACUCCCUCCGUCCCAAAAUUCUUUUCUUAGAUUUGUCAAAAUAUGAAUGUAUCUAGUCAUGUUUUAGUAUUUAGAUACAUUCAUUUCUAAACAAACUUAAGACAAGAAUUUAGGGACGGAGGGAGCAUGAG